CAAACAGAAAUAAACACCACCCUCCUAAAGAACAGAACACCACCUCUACCCUGGCUCUCCACACUACACUCUACCGUGGCUCUCCACACUACAGUGUCAUCGCUGGCAUAUGUUUCUUUUCAAACCCAAGCUGUGGCCAAGCUGCCUGAGAGCUUCAGAUCACAUGAGAACUCCUGGCUUUGCUGCCCUGCAGUCAGCUUCCCUGGCUUCGCCUGUGUUGCAGUGCGUGGCUCCUCAAAUCCAACACCUCUUGCAAGAAAAAUCAUCCUCUCACACCCCAGGGCUUCCUCAGUUCCCAAUCCAGCCCUUUUGAAGGCAGGAGUCACAGACAUCUCCUUCCACCUUAAAGCACCCAGGACUGGAACCUCAAGUCCUGGUAUCAAGAAGCGGCUUGUUCAACAUCUUGCUUAUUGACUUUGAGAGAUGCCGGAGCCCCUCCUCUAGGUCUUGGUCUCAUUGGACUGCAGAGCUCCUGGGGCCUCUGAAGGGGAGCGCUCUCCUGGAUGCCCAGUUCAUAGACCAGGCGAACUCAGGACCCGAGGGGGUCAAGGUUCCUUCUACCGCUCCCAGACUUUUUCCCCAGGAGUCGCGGUCACUCCCGGUGGCUUCGCGGGAGAGGACAAGGAAAUACCAACUUUCCGCAUGCUUGAGAUGUUACCCCGAAUGCAGUCAGCCGAGGAGUGCUUCUCGGGCUGUGCCCGGGACACCUCCAUGCACUGGGGUCUGCAGACACCGGGAAGACGCUGCUCAUCUUUUAACUACUCGCUCCCGCACUAGGCUGGAGACCCCCUGGGAAUUGCCGAGAGCUAUCCUUUGCGAAUUCACCUCUUCCAGGUAGGACUCCUGAGAAGGCAAAAGAGGAGGAUUGGACCCCCCGCGCAGACCGAGACCCGUCGCUGGGAGUCGGAUGAUGCGAGCUGAUAGAGUGGGGCGUGUAGACCGGCUGUGGGACCCAAGGACCAGAGGACUGACAGUUGGCAGAUGACAGAAAUUCCUCCUGCACGCGA
rnacentral:lncRNA from 1 species